AUGAACGCUGGCGGCGUGCCUAAUACAUGCAAGUCGAGCGAACAGACGAGGAGCUUGCUCCUCUGACGUUAGCGGCGGACGGGUGAGUAACACGUGGAUAACCUACCUAUAAGACUGGGAUAACUUCGGGAAACCGGAGCUAAUACCGGAUAAUAUAUUGAACCGCAUGGUUCAAUAGUGAAAGACGGUUUUGCUGUCACUUAUAGAUGGAUCCGCGCCGCAUUAGCUAGUUGGUAAGGUAACGGCUUACCAAGGCAACGAUGCGUAGCCGACCUGAGAGGGUGAUCGGCCACACUGGAACUGAGACACGGUCCAGACUCCUACGGGAGGCAGCAGUAGGGAAUCUUCCGCAAUGGGCGAAAGCCUGACGGAGCAACGCCGCGUGAGUGAUGAAGGUCUUCGGAUCGUAAAACUCUGUUAUUAGGGAAGAACAAAUGUGUAAGUACCUAUGCACGUCUUGACGGUACCUAAUCAGAAAGCCACGGCUAACUACGUG
rnacentral:rRNA from 1 species